AAUGUCGUAACAAGGGUUUCCGCAGGUGAACCUGCGGAAGGAUCAUUUACCGAGUUCUCCUGCUCUGCUGGAAUCUCCCACCCUUGAUUACUAUAGCGUUGCUUCGGCGAGACGCUGGCAAACAGCCAUUGACCUCUCACGUCGAUGCGUGCUCGCCGGAGUUUCAUACUCUACAUUAUGUGUCGUCAGAGAAUUCGAAAAACUCUAAAAAAG
rnacentral:misc_RNA from 1 species